rnacentral:rRNA from 1 species
GACGAACGCUGGCGGCGUGCUUAACACAUGCAAGUCGAGCGGAAAGGCCCUUCGGGGUCCUCGAGCGGCGAACGGGUGAGUAACACGUGAGUAACCUGCCCCAGACUUUGGGAUAACCCCCGGAAACGGGGGCUAAUACCGGAUACGACACAGCUUCGCAUGGGGUCUGUGUGGAAAGUUUUUCGGUUUGGGAUGGGCUCGCGGCCUAUCAGCUUGUUGGUGGGGUGAUGGCCUACCAAGGCGACGACGGGUAGCCGGCCUGAGAGGGCGACCGGCCACACUGGGACUGAGACACGGCCCAGACUCCUACGGGAGGCAGCAGUGGGGAAUAUUGCACAAUGGGCGGAAGCCUGAUGCAGCGACGCCGCGUGAGGGAUGACGGCCUUCGGGUUGUAAACCUCUUUCAGCAGGGACGAAGCGUAAGUGACGGUACCUGCAGAAGAAGCGCCGGCCAACUACGUG